UACGUAGGGUGCAAGCGUUAUCCGGAUUCACUGGGUUUAAAGGGUGCGUAGGUGGGUUGGUAAGUCAGUGGUGAAAUCUCCGAGCUUAACUUGGAAACUGCCGUUGAUACUAUCAAUCUUGAAUAUCGCGUAGGUAAGCGGAAUAUGUCAUGUAGCGGUGAAAUGCUUAGAUAUGACAUAGAACACCAAUUGCGAAGGCAGCUUACUUCACGAUCAUUGACACUGAGGCACGAAAGCGUGGGGAGCAAACAGG
rnacentral:rRNA from 1 species